rnacentral:rRNA from 1 species
AGUGAACGCUGGCGGUAGGCCUAACACAUGCAAGUCGAACGGCAGCACAGUAAGAGCUUGCUCUUACGGGUGGCGAGUGGCGGACGGGUGAGGAAUACAUCGGAAUCUACUUUUUCGUGGGGGAUAACGUAGGGAAACUUACGCUAAUACCGCAUACGACCUACGGGUGAAAGCAGGGGAUCUUCGGACCUUGCGCGAUUGAAUGAGCCGAUGUCGGAUUAGCUAGUUGGCGGGGGAAAGGCCCACCAAGGCGCCGAUCCGUAGCUGGUAUGAGAGGAUGAUCAGGCAGACUGGAACUGAGACACGGUCCAGACUCCUACGGGAGGAAGCAGUGGGGAAUAUUGGAGAAUGCGCGCAAGCCGGAUCCAGCCAUACCGCGUGGGUGAAGAAGGCCUUCUGGUUGGAAAGCCCUUUUGUUGGGAAAGAAAAGCAGCAGGUUAAUACCCCGCGGUUCUGACGGUACCCAAAGAAUAAGCACCGGCUAACUUCGUG